CGUUCGGUGGCGAGGUUCACGCUGGCGCCGGUGACGCCGGGCGUGACGUUCAGGCCCCGUUCGACGCGGGCCGAGCAG
rnacentral:tRNA from 1 species